UACACUCCUGCGGGAGGCAGCAGUGGGGAAUAUUGGACAAUGGGCGCAAGCCUGAUCCAGCCAUGCCGCGUGAGUGAUGAAGGCCCUAGGGUUGUAAAGCUCUUUCACCGGUGAAGAUAAUGACGGUAACCGGAGAAUAAGCCCCGGCUAACUUCGUGCCAGCAGCCGCGGUAAUACGAAGGGGGCUAGCGUUGUUCGGAUUUACUGGGCGUAAAGCGCACGUAGGCGGACUAUUAAGUCAGGGGUGAAAUCCCGGGGCUCAACCCCGGAACUGCCUUUGAUACUGGUAGUCUUGAGUUCGAGAGAGGUGAGUGGAAUUCCGAGUGUAGAGGUGAAAUUCGUAGAUAUUCGGAGGAACACCAGUGGCGAAGGCGGCUCACUGGCUCGAUACUGACGCUGAGGUGCGAAAGCGUGGGGAGCAAACAGGAUUAGAUACCCUAGUAGUCCC
rnacentral:rRNA from 1 species